rnacentral:rRNA from 1 species
CCCUAAUAAAAACAAAACCCUCAAAGCAAAAAUUUUGGAGAAAAAGAGAAAGAGAAAAGCCAAAAAUAUUUUUUAGGGGGGGCCAAGGAGGGGGGGGAAGGUUAAACAAUGUUAGGGUUUUUUUUCCCCUUUUGGGGCCCGGAGAAUAAACCCCGGGGGAAAAUCUUUGGGUUUAUAUCCGGGAUAAGGUUUUUUCGGAGGAAAACUUUUAUGCACCCAUUGGAUGGAGCCUUGCACUUGAUUAGUUUGUUUGUUGGUGGGGGUAAUGCCUACCAGGACAUGAUCAAUAGCUGAUUUGAGAGGAUGAUCAGCCACAUUGGACUUGAGACACGGCCCAAACUCCUACGGGAGGCAGCAGUAGGGAAUCUGCACAAAUGGAGGAAACUCUGAUGCAGCGAUGCCGCGUGAGUGAAGAAGGCCUUUGGGUUGUAAAGCUCUUUCGUCGGGGAAGAAAAUGACUGUACCCGAAUAAGAAGGUCCGGCUAACUUCGUGCCAGCAGCCGCGGUAAUACGAAGGGACCUAGCGUAGUUCGGAAUUACUGGGCUUAAAGAGUUCGUAGGUGGUUAAAAAAGUUGGUGGUGAAAUCCCAGAGCUUAACUCUGGAACUGCCAUCAAAACUUUUUAGCUAGAGUAUGAUAGAGGAAAGCAGAAUUUCUAGUGUAGAGGUGAAAUUCGUAGAUAUUAGAAAGAAUACCGAUUGCGAAGGCAGCUUUCUGGAUCAUUACUGACACUGAGGAACGAAAGCAUGGGUAGCGAAGAGGAUUAGAUACCCUCGUAGUCCAUGCCGUAAACGAUGUGUGUUAGACGUUGGAAAUUUAUUUUCAGUGUCGCAGCGAAAGCGAUAAACACACCGCCUGGGGAGUACGACCGCAAGGUUAAAACUCAAAUGAAUUGACGGGGACCCGCACAAGUAGUGGAGCAUGUGGUUUAAUUCGAAGAUACGCGCAGAACCUUACCAACACUUGACAUGUACGUCGCGACUCUAAGAGAUUAGAGUUUUCGGUUCGGCCGGACGAAACACAGGUGCUGCAUGGCUGUCGUCAGCUCGUGUCGUGAGAUGUUGGGUUAAGUCCCGCAACGAGCGCAACCCUUACUUUUAGUUGCUACCAUUUAGUUGGGCACUCUAAAAGAACUGCCGGUGAUAAGCUGGAGGAAGGUGGGGAUGACGUCAAGUCCUCAUGGCCCUUACGUGUUGGGCUACACACGUGCUACAAUGGUAUUUACAGUGGGAUGCUAAGAGGCAACUCCAAGCUAAUCCCCAAAAGAUACCUCAGUUCGGAUUGCACUCUGCAACUCGAGUGCAUGAAGCUGGAAUUACUAGUAAUCGGGAUCAGCGCGCCAUUCGGAAUUCGCC